UUUACCUGGUUGAUCCUGCCAGUAGUCAUAUGCUUGUCUCAAAGAUUAAGCCAUGCAUGUGUAAGUACACACCUUCCCUAGGGUGAAACCGCAAACGGCUCAUUAAAUCAGUCAUAAUUUACUGGAUGUCGGCUAUCCGUUACUCGGAUAACCGUGGCAAUUCUAGAGCUAAUACGUGCAAUCGAGCUCCGACGCCGAGGGUGCGGUUGCGAAACCGUUUCUCUCGGGGGAAGGGCGCAGUUAUUAGAAUCACAAACCGAGGCGGGCUCUCGAGCCCGAAACUAAACUUGGUACGUGGUGACUCUGGAUAACGUUGCCAAGCGCUUAGGCCUUCGAGCCGGCGCUGCGUCCUUCGAGUGACUGCCCUAUCAGCUUUCGAUUGUAGGAUAUACGCCUACGAUGGCUGUAACGGGUAACGGGGAAUCAGGGUUCGAUUCCGGAGAGGGAGCCUGAGAAACGGCUACCACAUCUAAGGAAGGCAGCAGGCACGCAAAUUACCCACUCCCAGUCCGGGGAGGUAGUGACGAUAAAUACCGAUGCGGGACUCAUCCGAGGCCUCGCAAUCGGAAUGAGCUCACUUUAAAAAAGUGGGCGAGGAUCGAUUGGAGGGCAAGUCUGGUGCCAGCAGCCGCGGUAAUUCCAGCUCCAAUAGCGUAUAUUAAAGUUGNUUGCGGUUAACACNNNNNNNNNNNNNNNNNNNNNNNUUUUAGAGUUGCUCAAAGCAGGCUAAAACACUUACGCCUGAAUAGCAAUGCAUUGAACGAUGGAACAGGACCUCGGUUCUGCACUGUUUUUUUUCUCGGUUUUUCCCGAACCCGAGGUAAUGAUUAACGGGAACGGUCGGGGGCAUUAGUAUUGCGACGCGAGAGGUGAAAUUCUGUGACCGUCGCAAGACUACCUACUGCGAAAGCAUUUGCCAAGAACGCUUUCAUUAAUCAAGAACGAAAGUUAGAGGAUCGAAGGCGAUCAGAUACCGCCCUAGUUCUAACCUUAAACGAUGCCAACUAGCGAUCCGCGUAACAGUCAUUCCCAAGACUGCGCGGGCAGCUCCCGGGAAACCAAAGUCUUUGGGUUCCGGGGGUAGUAUGGUUGCAAAGCUGAAACUUAAAGGAAUUGACGGAAGGGCACCACCAGGAGUGGAGCCUGCGGCUUAAUUUGACUCAACACGGGGAACCUCACCAGGCCCGGACACCGGAAGGAUUGACAGAUUGAGAGCUCUUUCUCGAUUCGGUGGUUGGUGGUGCAUGGCCGUUCUUAGUUGGUGGAGCGAUUUGUCUGGUUAAUUCCGAUAACGAACAAGACUCUGUCCUACUAACUAGUCGGCGGAUCGUUUCCCGAGACGGGUUCUCUCCCUAAUCGCGCGUUACGGGGCUGGCGGUCCGCGUCGCGGGUGUAUAGGUCGUCGCACCGAAUAAGCGCGGGCGAGGGUUCAUCCCCUCGUUGGCGCCUUCGGGCGGCGGCUGAAAGCUCGCGGCGCGGUAAUCGCGGGUCUCCGCGCGACUCUAAGGGGGGUCCUAACGAGGGGCGUCCGUCGUAUUAAUAUCUUCUUAGAGGGACCGGCGGUCUCGAGCCGUACGAGAAGGAGCAAUAACAGGUCUGUGAUGCCCUUAGAUGUCCUGGGCCGCACGCGCGCUACAAUGCAGGGAGCAGCGUGCUUUCCCCCUCCGAAAGGAGUGGGUAACCCCAUGAAACCCCUCGCCCGAUUGGGAUUGGGGGUUGCAAUGGUUGCCCAUGAACGAGGAAUUCCUCGUAAGCGCGAGUCAUUAGCUCGCGAUGAAUACGUCCCUGCCCUUUGUACACACCGCCCGUCGCUACUACCGAUGAAUGAUUAAGUGAGAGCGUCGGACCGGCGCCCUCGGCAGCCCUCGGAUAACCGGAAUCGAUCUUUUUUCGAGAAGACGGUCUCGGCCCGAGUACAGCGCCCCGGGAAUCGCCGGAAAGACGUCCGAACUUGAUUAUUUAGAGGAAGUAAAAGUCGUAACAAGGUUACGGUAGGUGAACCUGCGG
rnacentral:rRNA from 1 species